rnacentral:rRNA from 1 species
UACGUAGGGUGCGAGCGUUAAUCGGAAUUACUGGGCGUAAAGCGUGCGCAGGCGGUUCGUUAAGUUCGAUGUGAAAGCCCCGGGCUCAACCUGGGAACUGCAUUUGAAACUGGCGAGCUUGAGUAUGGCAGAGGGGGGUGGAAUUCCGCGUGUAGCAGUGAAAUGCGUAGAGAUGCGGAGGAACACCGAUGGCGAAGGCAGCCCCCUGGGCCAAUACUGACGCUCAGGCACGAAAGCGUGGGGAGCAAACAGG